AUCUAGUGGUGGGGGCAACUAGAAAACAAAUUCUUGAACCUCUCCCAAUAUUCGCAGAGGCUUUCCCUAGACUGGUGCUUGAUGCUAGAAAUGUCCUUUCUUAUGGU